rnacentral:rRNA from 1 species
UGGCUCAGAUUGAACGCUGGCGGCAUGCCUUACACAUGCAAGUCGAACGGCAGCGGACCGUUCGGGUGCCGGCGAGUGGCGAACGGGUGAGUAAUAUAUCGGAACGUACCUUCAGUGGGGAUAACGUAGCGAAAGUUACGCUAAUACCGCAUAUUCUGUGAGCAGGAAAGCAGGGGAUCGCAAGACCUUGCGCUGAUUGAGCGGCCGAUAUCAGAUUAGCUAGUUGGUGAGGUAAAGGCUCACCAAGGCGACGAUCUGUAGCGGGUCUGAGAGGAUGAUCCGCCACACUGGAACUGAGACACGGUCCAGACUCCUACGGGAGGCAGCAGUGGGGAAUUUUGGACAAUGGGCGCAAGCCUGAUCCAGCCAUGCCGCGUGAGUGAAGAAGGCCUUCGGGUUGUAAAGCUCUUUCGGCCGGGAAGAAAUCGCACAGGUUAAUACCCUGUGUGGAUGACGGUACCGGAAUAAGAAGCACCGGCUAACUACGUG